rnacentral:lncRNA from 1 species
AGAGGGACUAUGUUGUGAGCCUGCGAAAGAAGUUUGUGUGGGGACUGUGGGCAGUGAACGCGUUGGGAACAAUAUGGAAAACUGGGAGCCGCCUUGGAAUCUACAGGGCCGGAGAGACCGAGGGGCUCACUAGGUUGACCAGGCUGGUCUUGAACUCCUGGCCUCAAGCCAUCCUCCCACCUCAGCCUCCCAAAGUGCUGGGAUUACAUGCAUGAGCCACCACAUCCAGCCUACCUAAAAUAUUGAAUGCUGUUAAUAAAUCUCCUGAGGCCAGCAUAAGAAGGUGAUGGGCAAAACUAAUGCAGUAGGAGCUGAAAUCGACCAGGGGGUUCUUAUCCAACAGACAGCAGCAAAACUCUUUGUGUAUCUGCGUUCCUUUCAACAAGUGUGACUUCCUCAAUGGCAUCAUUCGUGAGCGUAACACAGAGCUCAGCAAUAACGUUUCUUCACUAACCCUACCAGGGUUUCAGUUGUGCAAUUUCACCAUUAGCAAAGCUUUUUGCUGAAAUCUGGCUUUUCAAAGGGAGAGUAUCCAGAAACAGAAGAUGCUGCUCUGAGAGGCUCUUCCUAAUAGAACUGCUGCUUCAGUUUAGCUUGAAAAAGCCCACACCGAGUUCCUAAUGACAGACAUCUGAACACCGGGUC